rnacentral:rRNA from 1 species
UACGUAGGGACCAAGCGUUGUCCGGAAUCACUGGGCGUAAAGAGCUUGUAGGCGGUUUGUCGCGUCUGCUGUGAAAAUCCGGGGCUCAACCCCGGACUUGCAGUGGGUACGGGCAGACUAGAGUGUGGUAGGGGAGACUGGAAUUCCUGGUGUAGCGGUGAAAUGCGCAGAUAUCAGGAGGAACACCGAUGGCGAAGGCAGGUCUCUGGGCCACUACUGACGCUGAGAAGCGAAAGCAUGGGGAGCGAACAGG